rnacentral:tRNA from 1 species
GCACCGCUAGCUCAAUUGGCAGAGCAGCUGACUCUUAAUCAGUAGGUUCCAGGUUCAAGUCCUGGGCGGUGCA